GCCAGCUGGGAGCCGUGCCGGGACCUCGGUGAACAAAGAGAACACCAUCCCUCCGAGGACCGGACGCAUUCCGUGGUCUGUCCGUGCGGAUACGCACGGGUACGCCAUCUGCGACAUGCGCGAGCAUGCCGCGGGAAGGACGGAGCAGGAACCGCCCGUCCAACGGACGGUCCGGGUCGCCCGGGCACGGAGAAGGACAACGCACGGUGAUGCCGUGCCCACCGCAAUACGAAGGGGUGCUGAACAGGCUCCCCCGAAACCCGCAAACCAGGCCGCAUGAGAACGCGGUGCUGUAAGGCGGGAACCUCACCCACGGUGGGCGGCGCACACGGCGCCCCGGAAACGGGACGUAUAAACGGCAAGCCGGUCCAAGUAGCCAAAGCGUGCGUACUUCAAACAUUUGAUAAGUGGUCCAUGUGAGAACAACAGGGAAACUUUCUUAGCUGAAUGGCUGGUGAACGAUGCGGGUAUGAAAAAUCCCCGUCAGAGCAAGGCAUCCUCCGGGGUGCGGCUCCCAUAGUCGAGGGCGACGGCCCGAAGGCUCAGGUCGGAGUCCUCUGUGGCGGAACGUCCGCGUCCAUGCACCGGGUAGGGCGAAGGUCCCCCGGCACGGCUCCCAGCUG
rnacentral:sRNA from 12 species